rnacentral:rRNA from 1 species
AGUGAACGCUGGCGGUAGGCCUAACACAUGCAAGUCGAACGGCAGCACAGUAAGAGCUUGCUCUUACGGGUGGCGAGUGGCGGACGGGUGAGGAAUACAUCGGAAUCUACUUUUUCGUGGGGGAUAACGUAGGGAAACUUACGCUAAUACCGCAUACGACCUACGGGUGAAAGCAGGGGAUCUUCGGACCUUGCGCGAUUGAAUGAGCCGAUGUCGGAUUAGCUAGUUGGCGGGGUAAAGGCCCACCAAGGCGACGAUCCGUAGCUGGUCUGAGAGGAUGAUCAGACACACUGGAAGUGAGAGAGGGUCCAGACUCCUACAGGAAGCCAGAGAGGGGAAUAUUGGACAAGGGGCGCGAGUCUGAUCCAGCCAUACCGAGUAGGAGAAGAAGGCCUACGGUUUGUAAAGCGCUUUUGUAGGGAAAGAAAAGAAGAAGGUUAAUACCCCGAUGUUCUGACAGUGCCCGAAGAAUAAGCACCGGCUACCUUCGUG